rnacentral:rRNA from 1 species
AGUGAACGCUGGCGGUAGGCCUAACACAUGCAAGUCGAACGGCAGCACAGUAAGAGCUUGCUCUUACGGGUGGCGAGUGGCGGACGGGUGAGGAAUACAUCGGAAUCUACUUUUUCGUGGGGGAUAACGUAGGGAAACUUACGCUAAUACCGCAUACGACCUACGGGUGAAAGCAGGGGAUCUUCGGACCUUGCGCGAUUGAAUGAGCCGAUGUCGGAUUAGCUAGUUGGCGGGGUAAAGGCCCACCAAGGCGACGAUCCGUAGCUGGUCUGAGAGGAUGAUCAGCCACACUGGAACUGAGACACGGUCCAGACUCCUACGGGAGGCAGCAGUGGGGAAUAUUGGACAAGGGGCGCAAGCCUGAUCCAGCCAUACCGCGUGGGUGAAGAAGGCCUUCGGGUUGUAAAGCCCUCUUGUUGGGAAAGAAAAGCAGCAGGUUAAUACCCCGCUGCUCUGACGGUACCCAAAGAAUAAGCACCGGCUAACUUCGUG